AUGCUCAUACACCCCUUAAACUUUGAAGUAGUGGCCAAGACACCCCUUAAACUUUUUUAUUGGCCAAUUUACUCCAUAAACUUUACACACCUGCCAAAUUAAUACCCCAGUUAGUCUACUGUUAAAAAACUUACGGAAUAGUCACAGGAGACACACGUGACUUUUAAAAAACAAACUCAGUCCUGUUAAUUUGAAACCAGAUGGAUUGAAGAAAACAAAAGAGAGUUAGGUCUGACCGGAGAAAAGAGAGAAAGAGGCAGCCACCGCAGAACGUCACCCAUCAUCUCUUCGCCCGUGUCCCGACGGCGCUUGGUGGUUCUGCAGCUCUGUUUGACAGCCACCACUUGUUGGUGGAAUAAGAGAGAAGGACAACACAAUUUAGAGUGCAGUUUAGCAAGCUUGCCAAGAGCCAUGGAUGAAAGUCCACUUUCACUGCCUACAAAUGCACCUUCUAUGCCAAAUGUACCACCCCUUAAAUCCCAAUAUGAUUCUACUGAGGCUGAAGGCCAAUUUGAUUUGUUAAUUUUCCAAUUUGUGUGGAGGAUGAUGAGGAUGAUGAAGAUUUUAAGUGACUCUGUUGAAUCUGAUGACGAUAUAAAUGAAGAUUUUGGAUUGGGGGAUGAUAGAAUUAGUAGAGAGAUUUGGGGCAAGUAACUUUAGGGAGUUUGGAAUGGUGAAGGAGAUGAUCAUACUUGAAUAGCAAAGAUUUGGCUUUUUUUAAUUAUUUUUUUCUAUGGGGAUGUAAAAAAUUGAAUGUUUUUUUAAUUGUAUUUUUUCAUAUAAAGAAAUUGAAGAGGACAA